GGUUGCGAUCAUACCAGCACUAAUGCACCGGAUCCCGUCAGAACUCCGCAGUUAAACGUGCUUGGGCGAGAGUAGUACUAGGAUGGGUGACCCCCUGGGAAGUCCUCGUGUUGCAACCC
rnacentral:rRNA from 1 species